UACUUUCACAGUAUUUAUAUAGAACUUAAGCCUGCUUUAUAAUAACACAAUGUGAAAAUCUAUAUAUUUCUUUUAAUAUGGGUCCUUUAAGUUACGUCUUUCUGCUACUUCCCCCCUCUCUAAGUGCAUCCCGGAGCCCGGAUCGAUUAACACCGUCUACCAUACAGUACAGGAGCAAAUCAUGACAACGUGACUGAAUAAUGGCACAGGAAGCGGCCGAUGAUGCAUCUGAUGUAGCGUGCAAACAGCCGCCAAAGAGGACGAUGAUGACAACGAUGUGUUAAUACGCGUAAUACAAUAAAAGGAAGAAAAUUAUGAGGUAGAUGGCUGAUGGUGAAUGAGUGCAACAGAAAGACUUCUUUGUUUUUCCUUCUUAAAUCUGAAUUAAAGGGUAACUUCAACCU